AGCGGAAGACAAAGGAAAAGAGGUGAGAGGAGGCGCCAUCCAUUAAGGAAUAAGCCAUGGAAGAAAGAGUUUCACCACCAAGAUGAGCCUUGGAUAAGAAGCUUGGAGAGGAUGCUUCAAUGGAGGAAAAGAAAGAGGGAGAGAAAGAGAGAGGGGGGAGCACGAAAUUGAAGGAAGAAAAAGGGAAAGAAGUUGAACUUUCAGUUGUGUCUCACAAGAGUCUCA
rnacentral:lncRNA from 1 species